AUGAACGCUAGCUACAGGCUUAACACAUGCAAGUCGAGGGGCAUCAGGACGAUAGCUUGCUAUUGUUGCUGGCGACCGGCGCACGGGUGAGUAACGCGUAUCCAACCUGGCCCUUAGUAGGGGAUAGCCCGGCGAAAGUCGGAUUAAUACCCUAUGUUUCCUUUGAUGGCAUCUGAUUUGGAACAAAGAUUGAUCGCUAAGGGAUGGGGAUGCGUCUGAUUAGGUAGUAGGCGGGGUAACGGCCCACCUAGCCAACGAUCAGUAGGGGUUCUGAGAGGAAGGUCCCCCACAUUGGUACUGAGACACGGACCAAACUCCUACGGGAGGCAGCAGUGAGGAAUAUUGGUCAAUGGACGAGAGUCUGAACCAGCCAAGUAGCGUGCAGGAUGACUGCCCUAUGGGUUGUAAACUGCUUUAUGCGGGAAUAAAGUUCGGCACGUGUGCCGUUUGUAUGUACCGCAUGAAUAAGGACCGGCUAAUUCCGUGCC
rnacentral:rRNA from 1 species